GGUUUCGUGGCGCAAUGGCAACGUGCUCGACUACGAAUCGAGAGAUUGCGGGUUCGAGUCCCGUCGAAAUCA